rnacentral:rRNA from 1 species
UACGGGGGAGCAAGCGUUGUUCGGAUUUACUGGGCGUAAAGGGCGCGUAGGCGGUCGUGACAAGUCACUUGUGAAAUCUCCGGGCUUAACUCGGAACGGUCAAGUGAUACUGUCGGACUAGAGUACAGAAGGGCAACUGGAAUUCUCGGUGUAGCGGUGAAAUGCGUAGAUAUCGGAGGAACACCAGUGGCGAAGGCGGCAACCUGGACAGAUAUUGACGCUGAGGUGCGAAAGCGUGGGAGCAACAG